AUUUCGUAACUAGAAUGGACAGACUUCUUUGCAUAUAGCCGCCAUGAAUAAUUGUAUGGAAAUUACAGAGAAAUUAAUUCAAGCCGGUGCAGAUGUAAGCAUUAAAGACAAGAUGGGUCGUACGGCUGUUCAUUUAGCUGCUCUUAAAGGACAUCACCUAAUCCUAGUCAGAUUGUUAAGAGUGGGUGUAGAAAUCGACGAUAGAGACGAGGUAAGA